AUGGAAAGUAAACACAGCUGCUCCGCUCACCCCGAGCAGCGCCGUGCGCCCCGGCCCCCGCCUUGCGCCCCGCGCUGGGGACGCGCACCCGGGGGGGGGGCCCCUCGCCAUGGGGUACACCCGGCCCCCAGCUUCUCCAGCAGGACGGGAUGGAGCAGGAGGUGUUUCUGCAGAGGGCCACGUCUCGUAGCCACGGCGUUAGCGUUUUCCUCUCCCUGGCUCAUUUUUUCUUCCAAGCGGGGCUCGGCAGCCCCCACCCCGUGUGACCCGAAACCGGGGAGCACCCAAAACCGUUCCCAUAUUUCCCAUGCAACGGCGGCAGCUGCGGGGCAGAGGCGCAGUGGGAACCUCCCCGAGAGCUUCCUUGCCCCCGAGAAGCGCUCGGGGCUGGGAUCCGAAUCACGCCCCGACACCUCGCAGCCCCACGCCCCGGCACCGGCACCCUGCGCCCCCCAAUUCCACCCCACUCAUGGGGGGUCCCGCACGCAGCUCCCGGCCCCACAGACCCCUGGAGGCUGCAAGGAGCUGUGGGGGGCUGGGGGGGUGCUGGGGGGGACACGGGGUGCAGGGCUGGAGCCUGCUCCCGACCUUUCCAUGGAGCUCGGCUGUCCUCUAGUGCCCGCCCGGCUCAUGGCACAGCCCGGCAGAUGCGCAAAUUGGGGACCUCUGCCCCCCCUCAGCCUCCCACCCCAUUUCAGCCUCCUCCCCCCUUUUUCUUGGCCUUCCCCUUCUUGCUGGCCUCCCUCUCCUUCUGGGCUCCAAUUUUCCUGGCCUCCCCGCACCCUGCAGCCUCCCCCACUCCUUUCUCUCCCCCUCUCCUUCAGGCCUCCUCCGUCUCUCAGCCUCCCCCAAUUUCUCAGCCCCUUCUUGGCCUCCAACCCGUUUCCAGCCCCACAUCCUGUUCAGGCUGCCCAUUUCUCUUUCGGCCUCUAUUUUAUUUUUCAUUUUAUUUUAUUUUAUUUUAUUUUAUUUUAUUUUAUUUUAUUUUAUUUCAUUUCAUUUCAUUUUAUUUCAUUUCAUUUUAUUAUUUUAUUUUAUUUUAUUUUUCCCUCCGGGCUCCCAACCCUGUUCACCUCCCACCUAUUGCAGCUCCCACUUUUUCUCAGCCUCCGGGUUUUUUUUUGUUUGUUUGUUUGUUUGUUUCCCUACCACAAUUUUAAUCCCUUUAUUUGCCCUCCCACCCCUUUUUGCCUGCUCCUUUCUGUCCGGCCCUCCCACCCAUUCGACCUCUACUUUUUUUUCUCUGGACUCCCCACCCUUUUUUGGCCUCCAGCCCCUUUCCAGCCUCCAGUUUGGGGAGGCGCAGGACGCAGCACCCCUCGGAGCAGGGAUUUAAUCCUACAAAAUGAGGCUGUGCCCCCCUAA
rnacentral:lncRNA from 1 species